CUCUUUCUUAUGGCGAUGAAUACCUCGGUGCAGAACGGCCAGUCACCGUGCCGAGAUUGUACGUACAGCGAGAUAUUAUAUGAUGGGAUACUUUCACAUGGUAUCUUCUGAAACAUAGUGAUAUGUUUUGGAUAGGUGGGAACCACCAAAGCUAAGUAUAAGUGCAAAAAAAUAUUGCCGUAAAAAGUUACUGCCAGAUUGCCAACAUAAUAGACGCUGCUGUGCAGAAUAAUCUUGAUGCCUAUAUGGGUGGAACCAUGUAGGAUUGUAGAGAAAAUCCACUAAGUUGGUUGUGUCGUUGAAUUGCAGAAAUGCAGGUAUAAAAUCUGUUCAGUGUACAAGUAGCCCAAAUCGACAUUGAAACUAUAUUUUACUAAUAGAUUAAAAAAAUAAUAAGUUCUGAAUGACGGGUGAAAGUUCAAAGUAACCAAUCUUUGCUACAAUUAUUGCUUAUGCAAACGACAAAGAAGUAUUAGGGUAGCUCCCUUAUGCUCAGACUUUGUUGAGUAGUGGCUGAAUAUUAUGACGAUAUUUUGAUGUAAGGCGAAGGCCUAUUUUGUUGCCAUAAUAAAG
rnacentral:ncRNA from 1 species